AUCUAGCUGACGAUUCCCAAAUAGGACGAAACGCUCGUCCUGAAU
rnacentral:hammerhead_ribozyme from 1 species